rnacentral:rRNA from 1 species
GACGAACGCUGGCGGCGUGCUUAACACAUGCAAGUCACGGGGGUCCGCAAGGACAACCGGCGAACGGGUGCGUAACACGUGAGCAACCUGCCUUAGUGUGGGGGAUAGCCGGCCCAACGGCCGGGUAAUACCGCAUACGAUCCACUGAGGGAGUCCUUGGUGGAGGAAACCUCCGGGGCACUGAGAGGGGCUCGCGGCCUAUCAGCUAGUUGGCGGGGUAAUGGCCCACCAAGGCUCUGACGGGUAGCUGGUCUGAGAGGAUGGCCAGCCACAUUGGGACUGAGAGACGGCCCAGACUCCUACGGGAGGCAGCAGUGGGGAAUCUUGCGCAAUGGCCGAAAGGCUGACGCAGCGACGCCGCGUGUGGGAGGACGCCCUGCGGGGUGUAAACCACUGUUGCCCGGGACGAAUGACCCUUUCGAGGGGAGUGACGGUACCGGGUGAGGAAGCACCGGCUAACUCCGUGCCAGCAGCCGCCGUAAAAC